rnacentral:lncRNA from 1 species
UAACAACCUAAGUGAAUGCACGCUUCCAGAGUCCCACUCUGAUGUUUCUUUCUUAAAGGCAAUAAUACUUUAUCAGUUGCUUUGGUUCUGAUCCUGGGAUAUAGUAAUAUCUUAAAGUGACAACCCCUGUGGUUCUUCACCUUUGGAUAUCUACUUCACAAGUCCAUACAUGUGUCCCUUUUGUGAUUUUAUGACACAUUCAUUAUAAGGGUUAUGAAAGUGACUUCCUAUCACAUAGGAAAAUGCUUUUCUUAAAUCUACAACAUUUGAGAUUUAAUUCCCAUAUAACAUUAUUGAGAUAGCCAUGCUAUAUCAAUAAGUCCAAUUUCAAGUCUAUACUUCAAAAUUGACCGUGUCAUGUUUUGUCAUUUUUCGAGUAACAUCUAUGUUUUAUCAAGUCUAUCAAAUAGACUUUAUUCACAUCUUGUUGCUCAAAUUUAUGACAUCACUCCCACUGGCCUUGUUGUAACUUAGCAUUCAUUCAAAAAUAACAAUUAUAUUUUUCUUGAUUUGAAUGCAUAUUUGCUCCCAUUAACUUUAAAUGAAUCAUACACAAAAGAAUUCCUUCUCAAGUAAUUCCAUGAAAUGUGUGACUUGCUUUAUCAAGUCUAUUCAUUUAAAUUAUAUGGUGUCAUACACCAUACUUCAAGUUUUAGUCGUACUAAGACCUUUAAUGUAGUCAUACAAGAAUUAUCCAAGUCUUUAGUGAAGCAUGGCUCCUUCUAAGGAUAUAGAAAACUCAACCAUUCCUUCUAGGUGGUUGAUAUAAUUCUUUAUCAAAACUACAUAGAGCAAUAUCGUUACAUGAGAUGUUGAAUUUGGUUUGUCUUGUUGUUAAACCAUAUGUUUUGUGACUCAUUUUGAAACUUAUUCCCUUUUGUUUCAUCAACUUGUCCAUAUGCUUGGUUAUUUAGCUUGUUCUCAUAAAAGAGAAUUAUGGACAACUCCCAACAUAUAACCAUUUAAUGCUAGGUUGACGAAACCAACAUUCAAAGACUAUUCUUUAGAAUGUCACACAACAAUAGAAUUUUAACGUUUGAAGAGCUUGAGUCCUUUAACAAUUAAAAUUACAAACUCUUAAUAAUAGUCAAGUACUAUUAUCCUUUAGACAACUAUAAACCAAUCAUAUUCAAGUUUAUAUCCAUUUUCACACCUCCCACUAUUUCUCAUAACUUUAAUGAGAAAUCAUUUCAUACAUUCAAAAUGUAUAAAAGUGGAUUAUAUUGGUAGAAGACAUUGUGUAGUAGCUUAAAACCCUUUCAAGCUCAUUUGUUUCAAUCUUCACUAAGUUAAUGUCUUGUCAUUAAGUGACUAAAGUCUUUAAACAUUUUAUAGAUUUAGACACUUCUUUCUUGGUUUAAUCACUAACACAAUUGACAUUUUAAAACCUUUUAAAGAAUGCCCAAUUAGUUGUUCAAAACUACUAAUUGAAUCAAGGUGAUCUUGAUCAUUGUGUUUCAAGUGAUAACCAUAUAAGAAA